rfam:Trichobilharzia regenti genome assembly, scaffold: TRE_scaffold0084838
GUACUGAUGAAGAGUCUCAAACUAGGACGAAACAGUUGUCCAGUAC